AUGAGCGUUAAUUACGGAGCCCCUGCUGGGGCGAUACCGAGGCGAUCGCCUGCCAUUGCCACCACCCAGGGGCGUGCGGCGGAUUUAUCGGAUCCGGCGAGAAAGGAAAUCUCCGCUAGUAGCGAGGAGUGGUUCUGUGAUCGGAAUGAUCCCCUGGGCCUGCGGGAGACUUGGAUCAGGGCAAGGGCUUCGGUCCGAAAGCUGGUAGAAAAAGAGAAGAAGAAUAGUCUUGUCCGGCAACAGAUCAGAGGAGAUCGGGAUCCCUUUUGUUCGGGCAUUGUCAAAAUCAAAGCCAGGAUGGAGCUGCUAAGGCAGGAUCUGGGGAUUGGUAUCUCGAUUGGGAAUCAAGAAUCAGAAGGAAACGAUUGUGAUCCCUUGUGGAGAGCAGAUCCGCCUGAUAAAGGAAAGGGAGGAAAUCACCCACGGGAGGGGAGGGGAUCCGGGGCUGAUGGGGAAUCGCAUCAUACGAUCAAUCAACCGAUUCAGGCACAAGGAAAGCAAGGUUCCAUGAGUAUAAAGGUGCAUGAAGAGGAGUCGUCCAUCACACAAUCUGCGAGAAGAGCUGUCACAACCAACCCCCUGUCUGCAAUGGCUGGCCAGGACCAACGCAAGAACAAGGCAGUGAUGGACGCGAGUGAGGAGGUCACCUCCAAUGGCAAGCCAGGGAUGGGGCACCGUCCCUUACUCCGGGGCGGCUCAUCCAGGGGCCGGGGCGAUGGCUUCCGUACCCCCGUUGGCCAGGGGGUGACCGGCAUUCAAGCAGCAAGGUAUGAUGAAAGGGAGCAGGUUGUGGCUCCUGUGUUUCCUGUCAGCAUGGAAAUACAGGCGCCAAAUGUUGUGCAGCUGAAUCUAGCCAGAGAGAGGACGGCAAUGCGCUCGAGGUGGAUAGCCGUCGGGCUGUUCUUCUCUGUGCAGGUUUUCGGCUUCGUGGGCUUGUUCAACGAGCUCAAGAGCAAGUGGGGGCUUCGUGGGCGCCUCAACUACACACCUAUGAAGAAUAACCGCUUCCUCCUCGAGUUCGAGCGGGAGGGGGACCUUCGGUUCAUCCUCAACAACGGCCCCUGCACGCAGAAGGGCGACGCCUUCCUCAUGGUAGCUGUGGACGGGAGCGCACGGCCGGGAGACGUGGAGGUUGCCCACAUGGCAAUGUGGGCUCGCAUCUAUGAUGCCCCACCGAUCAUGCUUUUUGAAUCGGUGGCUCGUGAACUCGGCGCUGAGCUCGGCGAGGUGCUGGAAGUGGACGCAGACAGUGAGGGCAGGAUAUGGGGUAACUACAUGCGAGUUCGUGUUAAUCAUGAUGUCGAUGAACCUAUCCGUAGCAAGUUGGAGUCAUAUGAUAGUACUGAGGGGAAGUGGUAUGAGCUGAAUGUAAAGUAUGAAAGGCUUCCUAGGUUCUGUAGCUCAUGUGGUCAUCUAGGUCACAGUCAGCGCGAUUGUAAGCUGCCCGAAGAUCUCCAAGAGAUGAGAUACUCGGCAGCAAUGCGCGCAUCCCCAUUUAAGAGGAGUAGCAGUAGGGGUGGAGUCAUUGUACCAGAGGCGAGCAGUGCCCGUCGCUUCCUCCUCUUUGACUCAGAGGCCAAAGGAACACCAGUUGAGGCCACCAAAAGGUCACUGGUGGUAAGGCCUGGAAUGGUUCCUGAGGAGGUGUUGGCAGACCCUCUAGUACAGGAAGCCAUUGAGGCUGUAAGCGCUCUCUGCCUGGACGCGGGAAGAAAUGGGGGCCCUGCCGAAGCACUGAAAUCAAAGGAUGCAAUAGCAGCGAAUAUCAUUCAGGCUGGAGCAAUGUCUGAUGGAGACAAAACCCCACGGGGCUAA
rnacentral:rRNA from 1 species